UGAAUCUGCGAAUGGCUCAUUAUAUCAGUUAUAGUUUACUCGAUAGUCAAUGCUACUUGGAUAACCGUAGUAAUUCUAGAGCUAAUACAUGCGUAAAGGGAUCUCCGUAGGGGGUCUUGCACUUGUUAGAUUUAAACCAACUCUGCUUCACGGCAGAUUUGUGGUGAUUCAUGACAAUUCAGCGGACCGCAUGCGCAAGCGGCGGUGAAUCGAUCAAGUUUCUGCCCUAUCAGCUGUCGAUGGUAGGGUAUUGGCCUACCAUGGCGUUAACGGGUGACGGAGAAUUAGGGUUCGGUUCCGGAGAGGGAGCCUGAGAGACGGCUACCACAUCCAAGGAAGGCAGCAGGCGCGAAAAUUACCCAAUCUCGACACGAGGAGGUAGUGACGACAAAUAGUAAUGCGGGGCUUUUAGACUUGCAAUUGCAAUGAGUACAAUUUAAACCUUUUAACGAGGAUCAAUUGGAGGGCAAGUCUGGUGCAAGCAGCCGCGGUAAUUCCAGCUCCAAUAGCGUAUAUUAAAGUUGUUGCAGUUAAAAAGCUCGUAGUUGAAUUUCUAGUCGGGGCUUUGCCAAUGAUGGUUUACUCUAUUGUUGGUGAGGUACCCGUCUUUUUUAUGGAGGUAGCCUAUUUGACCUUCACUGGUCGAGUAGGCGAGACCAUUCUGUUACUGUGAGCAAAACGGAGUGUUCAAAGCAGGCAAUCGCUUGAACGACUUAGCAUGGAAUAACAAGAUAUGACUUGGUCUAUCUUGUUGGUUUAUAGACCGAGUAAUGGUUAACAGGAACAGUUGGGGAUGUCCGUAUUAGCCUGUCAGAGGUGAAAUUCUUGGAUUAGGUUAAGACGAACGACUGCGAAAGCAUUCAUCAAGGAUGUUUUCAUUAAUCAAGAACGAAAGUUUGGGGAUCGAAGAUGGUUAGAUACCAUCGUAGUCCAAACCAUAAACGAUGCCGGCUCGGGAUCCCUAUUCGUUGAUUACGACUAUAGGGGCACCGUAUGAGAAAUCAAAGCCUUUGGGUUCCGGGGGGAGUAUGAGCGCAAGCUUGAAACUUAAAGGAAUUGACGGAAGGGCACACCAGAGGUGGAGCCUGCGGUUUAAUUUGACCCAACACGGGGAAACUUACCAGGUCCAGACAUAGCGAGGAUUGACAGUUUGAAAGCACUUUCUUGAUUCUAUGGGUGGUGGUGCAUGGCCGUUCUUAGUUGGUGGAGUGAUUUGUCUGGUUGAUUCCGAUAACGAACGAGACCCGCGCACUUAAAUAGUGAGGCUAUUUUCACGAAUGGCUUACACUUCUUAUGUGGACAACUCUUGCUUAAGGAGGGGAAGCGGCGGGCAAUAACAGGUCUGUGAUGCCCUUAGAUGUUCUGGGCGACACGCGCGCUACAAUGAUUGGCUCAACGGGUACUUCCUUGCCCGGAAGGGCAUGGGUAAUCCUUUAAAUACCAAUCGUGAUGGGGCUAGAUGUUUGCAAUUAUUCAUCUUCAACGAGGAAUCUCUAGUAUGUGCAUGUCAUCAGCGUGCGCAGAAUGCGUCCCUGCCCUUUGUACACACCGCCCGUCGCAGCUACCGAUUGAGUGGUCCGGCAAGAUCUCAGGAGGCGUUUGAUUUUGAACUCUCGGGUUUGAGAUCAAGUACCGAGUUUGCUCAAACCUUAUCACUUAGAGGAAGCUGAAGUCGUAACAAGGUC
rnacentral:rRNA from 1 species